GACCGUUGAUGGCGCUGCACGCUUCCGCAACUGUCUUUUUACUAGCGGUAUAAUAAUCAAGCAAAAUGACAGAAGGUGCAGUUACUAUUAGGACCAGGAAAUUUAUGAGCAAUCGGUUAUUAUGCCGAAAACAAAUGGUUGUGGAUGUAUUUCAUCCAGGCCAUCCAUCAGUUAGAAAAACAGAAAUACGUGAGAAGCUAGCUAAAAUGUACAAAGUAACACCAGAUGUAGUAUUUGUAUUUGGUUUCCAAACCAAUUUUGGUGGUGGUAAAUCAACUGGAUUUGCAUUAAUCUAUGAUACAUUGGACUUCGCAAAAAGAUUUGAACCUAAAUACAGAUUAGCUAGGCAUGGAUUGUUUGAAAAACAAAAACAGACAAGAAAACAGCGCAAAGAACGUAAAAACAGAAUGAAAAAGGUUAGGGGUACACAGAAGAGCAAAGUAGGAGCUGCAUCGAAAAAGGGAAGGAAGUAGUCAAAUGCUCAAUAUUUUUACUACAAUUCAUCAAGAGGGAACUUAAUUAUGAUGCUCAUAUAUGUAAAACCAUAAGACAUCAUGAAGACUGCGAUUUGUUCAACAUGGACGUAAAAAUUAUUAUAAUAAUUUAUUAUCACAGAUAAUUAUGAUAAGUUUUACAGAAUAAAAGUGUAC